UUGAUCAAUAAGAAUACCAAAAGUUUUAUCCCUAAACUCUAUAUUCAUAACACUUCUAGUUUUAUUUACCAAACGAUUAAAGAAAAAACAAAUCCUCCUCUUCUCCAUUCUCUUUUCUUCAACCCUAGAUGAGCCGAUUGGAUUUGCCCUCACACAAACCCUACAACUUCCUCCUUCUCUAUCUCUCACAGAAUCUGAAUUCGCACUCUGAAAUUCCUGAUGACGAAACAAGCGCAACCCUUUAGGAGAUCUACCGGCGACAUCUAUAAGCGAGAACGAUGAGGCUGAGACUUCUUCUGGAGCAAGAAGAGGAAGAAGAAGAUGAUGAUAAGGUGAACCCAGACGUCCUCGUCCGCCGUCAUAGUCGCAGGCAAAACCGGCGAUGUGAAGACUUUUGGAGUUCUUCUUCUGCUUCUACCAGAUCUGGUGUCACUAUAUAUUGCAGAUCUUAGCAGUGUUGUGAGCCAGACUUAUGAGAGAACCAUAUACUAGCAGGUAGAGAUUGAGCUUCGAGCCCAAUGAUUGCAAUAGAAAUCAAGAGAAGGACAGAGAAAUCAAGUCAUUCAUAUAAGCUUUGAAUGUGUUCAGGGCAUUGUUGGAUUCGACGUUGGUUUAGCAGCAAUGGAGGAACCUAUGAGCUGUAAGUGUAUCAAGGCAUGUAAGAAGGGUGAAUCUGGAAGCUACUGUUUUUGGGAUAGUGCCGCUUACUUUAAGUUGCAGAUAUUGAGAACCAGCAGUGAGUGAGCAAGAACCCAAAAGAGAGAGCUGAAGAGAUUAGAGAGAAGAGGAGUUUUUUUGUCUGAGACAAGAGUAGUUGAUGUUUUUGUAUAUAAGAUUUGGUUUGGNUUUUUUUUUUUUUUUUUU